AGUGGCGAACUGGUGAGUAACACGUGGGUCCCCUGCACUUGAAGUAGGGGAUAACACUUGGAAACAGGUGCUAAUACCGUAUAACAACCAAAACCACCUGGUUUUGGUUUAAAAGAUGGCUUCGGCUAUCACUUUAGGAUGGACCCGCGGCGUAUUAGCUUGUUGGUAAGGUAACGGCCUACCAAGGCAAUGAUACGUAGCCGACCUGAGAGGGUAAUCGGCCACAUUGGGACUGAGACACGGCCCAAACUCCUACGGGAGGCAGCAGUAGGGAAUCUUCCACAAUGGACGAAAGUCUGAUGGAGCAACGCCGCGUGAGUGAUGAAGGGUUUCGGCUCGUAAAACUCUGUUGUUGGAGAAGAACAGGUGUGAGAGUAACUGUUCACAUCUUGACGGUAUCCAACCAGAAAGCCACGGCUAACUACGUGCCAGCAGCCGCGGUAAUACGUAGGUGGCAAGCGUUGUCCGGAUUUAUUGGGCGUAAAGCGAGCGCAGGCGGUUUCUUAGGUCUGAUGUGAAAGCCUUCGGCUUAACCGGAGAAGUGCAUCGGAAACCAGGAGACUUGAGUGCAGAAGAGGACAGUGGAACUCCAUGUGUAGCGGUGAAAUGCGUAGAUAUAUGGAAGAACACCAGUGGCGAAGGCGGCUGUCUGGUCUGUAACUGACGCUGAGGCUCGAAAGCAUGGGUAGCGAACAGGAUUAGAUACCCUGGUAGUCCAUGCCGUAAACGAUGAGUGCUAAGUGUUGGAGGGUUUCCGCCCUUCAGUGCUGCAGCUAACGCAUUA
rnacentral:rRNA from 1 species